rnacentral:lncRNA from 1 species
GGGGGGUGAAUUAGUGCAACGGAAAGAUUACGUCUCGAUUAAAACUUCAUUCGAUAAAAACCAUUUCCGACGAAAACCGAUCUUGGAAAUAUCUUAACUUGAAACACGUUCGUAAAUGAAUUGAAGACAGUAAGCAUUUAAAGAGGUUUGUAGUAAGGUAAUAGCAAGAAUAAAAUGCAAACCAGAGAACAUGAUAGUUUUAGAGUGGUUUGGUCAACGUGACC